rfam:Chlorocebus sabaeus isolate 1994-021 chromosome 4, whole genome shotgun sequence.
CUGCAGCCAGUUAAGUUGAUCGAGCUCUUUUCCUCAUGGAGGCUUGGUGUGCAAUGACUGCAAACAGCAGGUUCCUUGGUAGUGUACGCAGCCUGUUUCUUGUAUGGGUUGCCUCUAAGGGUCCUUGGAGAUAGCC